GAGCUGCUGUUCUAUCAAAAAUAACCUCGCUAUUCCAUAAGUUAGAGUAAGAUCUCAUAAACCCCACAUAUGGGAUACACUAGCUAGGUAUAUUAUUAUUGUAGGUAGUACUCAUCGAUCUGUUUCUGAGAGGCUAAGAUGAACUUAAGUAGAGUGAAGUCAUGAACUCAGCUGAUCAGUUAUGAACAAGCGGGUGUGUUCUUGGUGGUAAGUAGUCAAAAUUAUACUCUGCCUCCCUUUUCAUAUCCUCUUUUGACACUUUCACUUCUACAUCCAAUCUCGAGGGAAUGGAAACCCUAUUCAUAUUUGAAUUCAUCUUCUCGUCCUGCGAGAAACACACAAAAAAUUCAAUUUUAUAUUUCAAAAUAUUCUCAAGAUAUGCAUUAUAUACUCCUAUAGUACUGGGAUUUAAUUAGUUAUACAUACUGAGCAAGGCUGGAAAUCUACUCUAUCGGAAUAAUAUUACCUGUAAUAGCAGGUUAAUUAUCAUAUUAAUUGUAUUAAUCUUAUGGUUAAGCAACUUGAUUAAUGUAAAUGCUUUUUUUACUGUUAGUUCAUAGAAUUUAAAUACUAAAAUAAAAGGGUAUACGUUAUAUACAAACAUUAAUUUGUCUUAAAGAAAGGAUAACAAACUUCUAUAAUAUGUCAAACUACACUGAUAAAAUAAGAAAAUUUUUAUAUUGUUAGUGCAUAUAAUAACAUAAACUCAAAAAACAUAUAAAUAAGAUCAGAAUAAGUUGGAGAUUAAUAUAUAGAAACAGAUGAAAUUACCUUGCUGAGUACACCAAGUGAUCUAGCAUUACAUGCAUGGAAUAGAAGGAAAAUUGUAAGAAGAGAGGAUAUCGUAAUUGACAUUUGAGAAGAAUCGUACAUU
rnacentral:lncRNA from 1 species